UACGGAGGGUGCGAGCGUUAAUCGGAAUUACUGGGCGUAAAGGGUGCGUAGGUGGUUUGUUGAGUUAUCUGUGAAAUACCUGGGCUUAACCUGGGCAGGUCAGGUAAUACUGAUGGACUCGAGUAUGGGAGAGGGUAGUGGAAUUUCCGGUGUAGCGGUGAAAUGCGUAGAGAUCGGAAGGAACACCAGUGGCGAAGGCGGCUACCUGGCCUAAUACUGACACUGAGGCACGAAAGCGUGGGGAGCAAACAGG
rnacentral:rRNA from 1 species